GAAACCUGCUCAGGUGAAUGUCGGAUAUCUGCCGAAAACAGGUAUUGAACAGAGACAUCUGAGCCGGGAAGAG
rnacentral:miRNA from 1 species